rnacentral:tRNA from 1 species
GGGAAUGUGGCGCAGUGGUAGAGUGCUUGCCUGAUAUGCAUGAAUCCUGGGUUCAAUUCCUCUAUCCUUA